rnacentral:rRNA from 1 species
GGUUAAGCGACUAAGCGUACACGGUGGAUGCCCUGGCAGUCAGAGGCGAUGAAGGACGUGCUAAUCUGCGAUAAGCGUCGGUAAGGUGAUAUGAACCGUUAUAACCGGCGAUUUCCGAAUGGGGAAACCCAGUGUGAUUCGUCACACUAUCAUUAACUGAAUCCAUAGGUUAAUGAGGCGAACCGGGGGAACUGAAACAUCUAAGUACCCCGAGGAAAAGAAAUCAACCGAGAUUCCCCCAGUAGCGGCGAGCGAACGGGGAGCAGCCCAGAGCCUGAAUCAGUGUGUGUGUUAGUGGAAGCGUCUGGAAAGGCGCGCGAUACAGGGUGACAGCCCCGUACACAAAAAUGCACAUGCUGUGAGCUCGAUGAGUAGGGCGGGACACGUGGUAUCCUGUCUGAAUAUGGGGGGACCAUCCUCCAAGGCUAAAUACUCCUGACUGACCGAUAGUGAACCAGUACCGUGAGGGAAAGGCGAAAAGAACCCCGGCGAGGGGAGUGAAAAAGAACCUGAAACCGUGUACGUACAAGCAGUGGGAGCACAGAGCAAUCUGUGUGACUGCGUACCUUUUGUAUAAUGGGUCAGCGACUUAUAUUCUGUAGCAAGGUUAACCGAAUAGGGGAGCCGAAGGGAAACCGAGUCUUAACUGGGCGUUAAGUUGCAGGGUAUAGACCCGAAACCCGGUGAUCUAGCCAUGGGCAGGUUGAAGGUUGGGUAACACUAACUGGAGGACCGAACCGACUAAUGUUGAAAAAUUAGCGGAUGACUUGUGGCUGGGGGUGAAAGGCCAAUCAAACCGGGAGAUAGCUGGUUCUCCCCGAAAGCUAUUUAGGUAGCGCCUCGUGAAUUCAUCUCCGGGGGUAGAGCACUGUUUCGGCAAGGGGGUCAUCCCGACUUACCAACCCGAUGCAAACUGCGAAUACCGGAGAAUGUUAUCACGGGAGACACACGGCGGGUGCUAACGUCCGUCGUGAAGAGGGAAACAACCCAGACCGCCAGCUAAGGUCCCAAAGUCAUGGUUAAGUGGGAAACGAUGUGGGAAGGCCCAGACAGCCAGGAUGUUGGCUUAGAAGCAGCCAUCAUUUAAAGAAAGCGUAAUAGCUCACUGGUCGAGUCGGCCUGCGCGGAAGAUGUAACGGGGCUAAACCAUGCACCGAAGCUGCGGCAGCGACGCUUAUGCGUUGUUGGGUAGGGGAGCGUUCUGUAAGCCUGUNNNNNNNNNNNNNNNNNNNNNNNNNNNNNNNNNNNNNNNNNNNNNNNNNNNNNNNNNNNNNNNNNNNNNNNNNNNNNNNNNNNNNNNNNNNNNNNNNGGUGGAGCUGAAAUCAGUCGAAGAUACCAGCUGGCUGCAACUGUUUAUUAAAAACACAGCACUGUGCAAACACGAAAGUGGACGUAUACGGUGUGACGCCUGCCCGGUGCCGGAAGGUUAAUUGAUGGGGUUAGCGCAAGCGAAGCUCUUGAUCGAAGCCCCGGUAAACGGCGGCCGUAACUAUAACGGUCCUAAGGUAGCGAAAUUCCUUGUCGGGUAAGUUCCGACCUGCACGAAUGGCGUAAUGAUGGCCAGGCUGUCUCCACCCGAGACUCAGUGAAAUUGAACUCGCUGUGAAGAUGCAGUGUACCCGCGGCAAGACGGAAAGACCCCGUGAACCUUUACUAUAGCUUGACACUGAACAUUGAGCCUUGAUGUGUAGGAUAGGUGGGAGGCUUUGAAGUGUGGACGCCAGUCUGCAUGGAGCCGACCUUGAAAUACCACCCUUUAAUGUUUGAUGUUCUAACGUGGACCCGUAAUCCGGGUUGCGGACAGUGUCUGGUGGGUAGUUUGACUGGGGCGGUCUCCUCCUAAAGAGUAACGGAGGAGCACGAAGGUUGGCUAAUCCUGGUCGGACAUCAGGAGGUUAGUGCAAUGGCAUAAGCCAGCUUGACUGCGAGCGUGACGGCGCGAGCAGGUGCGAAAGCAGGUCAUAGUGAUCCGGUGGUUCUGAAUGGAAGGGCCAUCGCUCAACGGAUAAAAGGUACUCCGGGGAUAACAGGCUGAUACCGCCCAAGAGUUCAUAUCGACGGCGGUGUUUGGCACCUCGAUGUCGGCUCAUCACAUCCUGGGGCUGAAGUAGGUCCCAAGGGUAUGGCUGUUCGCCAUUUAAAGUGGUACGCGAGCUGGGUUUAGAACGUCGUGAGACAGUUCGGUCCCUAUCUGCCGUGGGCGCUGGAGAACUGAGGGGGGCUGCUCCUAGUACGAGAGGACCGGAGUGGACGCAUCACUGGUGUUCGGGUUGUCAUGCCAAUGGCACUGCCCGGUAGCUAAAUGCGGAAGAGAUAAGUGCUGAAAGCAUCUAAGCACGAAACUUGCCCCGAGAUGAGUUCUCCCUGACUCCUUGAGAGUCCUGAAGGAACGUUGAAGACGACGACGUUGAUAGGCCGGGUGUGUAAGCGCAGCGAUGCGUUGAGCUAACCGGUACUAAUGAACCGUGAGGCUUAACCUU